CUUAGGUCAGCGGCGGACGGGUGAGUAACACGUGGGUAACCUGCCGGAAAACUGGGAUAACUCCGGGAAACCGGGGCUAAUACGGGAGGUUUGAUUGACCGCUGGGUCCAAAUUGAAGGGGGGCUUUGCUGUCACUUAAGGAUGGACCCGCGUCGCAUUAGCUAGUUGGUGAGGUAACGGCUCACCAAGGCAACAAUGCGUAGCCGACCUGAGAGGGGGAUCGGCCACACUGGGACUGAGACACGGCCCCCACUCCUACGGGAGGCGGCAGUAGGGAAUCUUCUCCAAUGGACAAAAGUCUGACAGAGCAACGCCCCGUGAGUGAUGAAGGCUUUCGGGUCGUAAAACUCUGUUGUUAGGGAAGAACAAGUGCUAUUUGAAUAAUAUGGCACCUUGACGGUACCUAACCACAAAGCCACGGCUAACUACUUGCCAGCAGCCGCCGUAAUACUUAGGUGGUAAGCGUUAUCCGGAAUUAUUGUUGGUCAAGCAGGCGCAGGUGGCUUCUU
rnacentral:rRNA from 1 species